CAGCCGCCACGGUAAUACGAAGGGUGCAAGCGUUACUCGGAAUUACUGGGCGUAAAGCGUGCGUAGGUGGUGGUUUAAGUCCGUUGUGAAAGCCCUGGGCUCAACCUGGGAAUUGCAGUGGAUACUGGGUCACUAGAGUGUGGUAGGGGAUAGUGGAAUUUCCGGUGUAGCAGUGAAAUGCGUAGAGAUCGGAAGGAACAUCUGUGGCGAAGGCGACUAUCUGGGCCAACACUGACACUGAGGCACGAAAGCGUGGGGAGCAAACAGGAUUAGAUACCCGCGUAGUCCCUGUCUCUUAUAA
rnacentral:rRNA from 1 species